GUUCUCUCUAGACUCGAGAUAUUUAUACGUUUCGUGAUUGGACUCGAUCGUGAACUGGCUCUGUUGCAGACGGACACGACACAAAUCAGAACAAGACAACAACAACUUUCGCGUGCCGAUCAAAAUUUCCGAUUAAAUAAAAAGAAAGAAAAGAACGUGGAACUUGUCAGAAAGUGAUUUGAUAUUGAUAGGAAAAAAGGCGAGCCAGACACCUUUAAAAUCGUGCCAAUGCAGGGAGAGCGAGGACAAAUCAGGCUAUAUUGACGUGUAUAUCGUACGAGAUGUAGAUUUGGUUGACUGGAACUACUAGAUUUGGCCGAACAAACUCCCCUUGAUGAACUCAAUUCGACAACUUCAAAUUCGGGUUUUCAUUUUGAAGGGGGGGGGGGGUUUGAUUUUUAAAAUUUCAUUUCUAAUUUCUAUCAAUUUCGUAUUAUUGUUAUUCGUAAGCAUGCUAGAUGCUGAUUAGAACAAAAUUGGAUAAGUGUCGUCUGCUCUCUUUUAGUUAAAAUAUUCGUCGAAAAAGUCAGACAAAGACAAAGUGCAAGAUUUAUAUUGUUGGUAGAUUUAUUUGUUUUUGAUAACCGUCAUACUCCAUGCUGUUUGGCGGAUUUGAGGCCAGAGACAGCCAUCAUAACUACACAAUAUGCAAGUUUUUCUUGUGUAGAUGAUAACCUAUCACCAGCAACAAUCUCAGGAUCAUCGAUUGGAUGGAUAAAAAAGCAUCCCAUUUCAUUGGAAAAACUACCGAUGUCAAUUGAGUUAAGGAUCUCUCUAUUUCCCCUUUCUUUUUAAUGUCCUCGUGUACGCCCAUGUGAAUGUGGGUGUAUUCACGAGGGACACCCUUUUUACCUGUCUCGUCUGGUGCCAUUUAACUCUUCAUCGGAUGGAUGGAGCAACUGUAGAGAUGCCUGGCUGUAUUUCCCAGGCAUAAAGGUAGGACACUCUCUUCCCUAUUCUUCCUUUUUGGCAAUUUUUGGUGGGGUUGAUUAUAAAUCGUUACGUAGUCACGGACUAUGUUUUUUCCUGAGCUAAGCAGUUGACUGCAACUGUUUUCUCUCUCCGAUUUUGUUUUUUUUCUCAGUGAGGAUUCACUAAAAAUCUCAAUUGUCAUAACGACUGCAGAUCAGGCUUGUUUUGUUUUGUACCUCACAACUUUUUCUGUGGGUAGAAAACCAUCGCAUUCAAAAAUAUUUCAUUUUUAAACACUUGAAGCAAAGUGGAACAAGACAAUUUUUUGACCAAGGGGGACCUGCUGCCACACCGGUACCUCAUCGUAUAAUAAUCAAAGGCUCGCUUGUUGUGGCCCACGUUUUUUUUUACACAACCCGCAAGGCGCGCUGAUUAUCUCUGUGCUUGGUUGGAUUCGUUUAUUUUUCCCUUUCUAUUUGAUGUCGUUGCAUUUAUAAUGCGUAUUUUAUUAGAUAUUUUUUUCGGAGGCGCCUUUUCGAUUUCAAACUCUCUACUACAGUUGGUAGCCCGGGGACGUUUUCUCCGUCUCUGCUGCAGCCCAAAACGAAAUCCACACCUCUAUAGCUUUCACCGCACCCAGCAGACAUCAUGUGCAUGCAACUCGCCAAAAGCCAGCAGCAGCCAAAAGAAUGAAAUGGCUUUCCCCUAGUAUUUCGGUUGUUGGAGCGAAACGGAAUGUCGUGUUGCCACUUUGGAGUUAAAACCAUUGGGAUUUUUCUUUUUGUUUAUAUUUCGUCCUGGUUUCAGAAAUGAGCCAAAUGAGAUGAAUCAGCGUUGUUCUUUAUCGACACAUGAUCACGACUCAGUCAAUGUCAUCCGCCAGUUAUUCAGUAUACAGCAGUUACGCUUUUGGAAUAUUUCACGAUUGACGUGAUUAGGCAACCGGAUCUAAGGGUGAAAGGUAGCCUGUAAUUCAGACGAAUCACCUCUCACUUUUCUGGCGUUUUCUUUAUUUCGUUAUUUUGGGGGUUUUCCAAACUCUACUGCGCGCUCGAUAUAUCAAGGCUACCCGUUGAAAACAAAACAAAAAAAAACUGAAUAGAAAUUGCCAAAAUGGCAGAUUUCGGUUUAGACGGAGAAUGCAAGCAAUUUGAAGAACGAUCGUCGCGUUAUUCAAAGAAAGUCUCCGACAGGGCGAACACGGCAAACAAAUCUGUCUUAAUCACCUUGAAAAACAAGUUGAAAAAAAAAGGUAACGCGUCAGCACCGAGAGCCAAAUUUCUCUUGGCCAGCAGCCGUUGGCCAAUUGGGAAAAAAUCUUGCACCACCACUACUACUACUACUGCACACUACUAUUAUGUCAAACGUAUUCAUAUGUGCGUGUAAGUGGGGAAAUGGUGGUUGCGUUUGGAAUGAUGAUUCAUCGACUUUUGGACUCGAUUCUCUUUCCCUCUCACUGGACUCGGUCCGUUCCCAAUCGAGUCGGCAUAAUGAAUAACAGAUAUGUAUACAAGCGUGUGAAAAGAAGAUGGCACACACGGACGGUUAUUUAUCGGCGUGAACGAAUUGCCAAUUGGCAAAGAUGGGGGGAAUGGCGCCGGUCAGCUGGCACUAAACUGCUCUCGGUUUGCUGGCCGCUAAGGAGGGCGGAGGGGUGGGCAGCCUAUUAAGGUGAGAGUUGGACAACAAUUCGACGAAAAGAGAGCGAGAAUCUACUAACCCAUUCGACAGCAAAAUGAUUGCAGAUUGUGGUACAAGGUCGGUUUAAGAUAGACACUGCUGACGAGCUUCUAAAUAGUUAACAACCUU